CCCCACACACAAACACAUCACCGCACACACAAACACAUACACUGUACCCCUCAAUGCAGUGUGUGUAUUUAGCAGUCUGUGUGUGUACACUCAGCAGUCUGUCUGUGUGUGUGUGUAUUUAGCAGUCUGUGUGUGUGUAUUUAGCAGACUGUGUACUCAGCAGUCUGUGUGUAUUCAGCAGUCUGCUAAAUACACAUACAGACAGACUGCCAAGCACACACACAAACUGCUUAAUACACACACAGAUGUUAAUUAGUUC